rnacentral:rRNA from 1 species
GAUGAACGCUGGCGGCGUGCUUAACACAUGCAAGUCGAACGGGAUAUACUUUUUAGCUUGCUAAGUUGUAUAUCUAGUGGCGGACGGGUGAGUAACGCGUGGGUAACCUGCCGUAUGCUGGGGGACAACAGUUGGAAACGACUGCUAAUACCGCAUAAGCGCACGAGAUCGCAUGAUCCUGUGUGAAAAACUCCGGUGGCAUACGAUGGACCCGCGUCUGAUUAGCCAGUUGGCAGGGUAACGGCCUACCAAAGCGACGAUCAGUAGCCGGCCUGAGAGGGUGAACGGCCACAUUGGGACUGAGACACGGCCCAGACUCC